GAACGGGUGAGUAAUGCAUCGGAACGUGCCCAAUCGUGGGGGAUAACGCAGCGAAAGCUGUGCUAAUACCGCAUACGACCUACGGGUGAAAGCGGAGGACCGCAAGGCUUCGCACUAUUGGAGUGGCCGAUGUCGGAUUAGCUAGUUGGUGAGGUAAAAGCUCACCAAGGCGACGAUCCGUAGCUGGUCUGAGAGGACGACCAGCCACACUGGAACUGAGACACGGUCCAGACUCC
rnacentral:rRNA from 1 species